rnacentral:rRNA from 1 species
GACGAACGCUGGCGGCGUGCUUAACACAUGCAAGUCGAACGCUGAAGCUCAGCUUUUGUUGGGUGGAUGAGUGGCGAACGGGUGAGUAACACGUGAGUAACCUGCCCCCUUCUUUGGGAUAACGCCCGGAAACGGGUGCUAAUACUGGAUAUGCACUGGUCCUCGCAUGGGGGGUGGUGGAAGUGGUGUUUCUGGUGGGGGAUGGGCUCGCGGCCUAUCAGCUUGUUGGUGGGGUGAUGGCCUACCAAGGCGUUGACGGGUAGCCGGCCUGAGAGGGGGACCGGGAAGAUGGGGACUGAGAUAGGGCCCAGACUACUACGGGAGGUAGCAGUGGGGAAUAUUGCGCGAUGGGCGGAAGAAUGAUGGAGCGACGGAGCGUGAAGGAUGGAGGCCGUCGGGUUGUGACCCUGGUUGGAUAACGGUCAAGCCGCAACAAUGGUUGUGGUGAGGGUAGUGGGUAAAGAAGCGCCGGCUAACUACGUG